rfam:Fukomys damarensis contig84026, whole genome shotgun sequence.
CAGAUUAUUCAGUGGCAGUAUCGUAGCCAAUGAGGUUUAUCCGAGGCGCGAUUAUUGCUAAUUGAAAACUUUUCCUAUAUGUCUAUUUUUAAGUGACUGUAUUAUCCUUCCAUGGAGAAAAUUAUAUUUAAUAAAAUUUUUAAAAU